rnacentral:rRNA from 1 species
AUUGAACGCUGGCGGCAGGCUUAACACAUGCAAGUCGAACGCGUGGCGGACGGGUGAAUAAUGCUUGGGAAUCUCGGUUAUGUAGGGAGAUAACUACGGGAAAAUGUAGCUAAUACUGCUAACCAUAGGAUCAGCACACGUGGGUGUAGGGAGUGGGUGAGGUAAAGGCUCACCAAGCCGACGAUCUCUAGCUGGUCUGAGAGGCUGACCAGCCACACUGGGACUGAGACACGGCCAAGACUCCUACGGGAGGCAGCAGUAGGGAAUCUUGCGCAAUGGGGGAAACCUGACGCAGCCAUGCCGCGUGAAUGAAGAAGGUCUUCGGGUUGUAAAGUUCUUUCGGUAGCGAGGCGUUAACUAAAGAGGAAGCAACGGCUAACUACGUGCCAGCAGCCGCGGUAAUAC